UCCGAUUCGACUCAACUCCGUUCUUCUUCUUCUCGUUCUUUCUCACUCUGGCACCCUUUCUCCGUCUCUCACCAACGUACCGGUGUGUAUUGGUGUAUCGGCACAUGAUUCAAACCUCUCCGUGCACUCUUCGCAUACACCGACGCACGUAUACAGGGUGGUGUCUUUUGAUUCGGAGAAGAGAACUCGAAGACCGUGGGAGCCGGCGCCCGGUUACCAAGAGGCGACGUGACGCCCCAACCUGUGACUUUGGCUAUGGAUUUCUGCUGUGGUUACCAUACUCCAAUUUCACGAUCAUUUUGCGACAGUGCGGCAUACUCGUAAAAAUCGAUAUGCAUACAUAUUGUAUGUAUACAUAUUACCGUGUAUUGAAAUUACAGUUUAAUGUAUCUUUUGUUACUUCCAUGACGAAUUCAAUGCAAUUUUUUAUGACAACGAAUUAUUUAUUAGUUUUAUAACAAUGAAUUAUUUAUAAACGACCAUUUAAUUCGCAAUCCUUCGACACGUUCCUAGCAUAGCAAUAGAAUACGUGUCUAUAUAUUUUGUAACUACAUACACCAUCAGAUGAAGGACGACAAUAAUUUUUUAUCAAAUCUGGAAACACGACUAAUAAACCAAACAAAAGAAAACCAAAAUAAUUCCUGGAAAUUUCACUAUUUGAAUAACUGUUUAUAUAGCGAAGCCAACGAUCCGACUAAUCCAUACGCAAAUACGAUGUACAAACUCGUGUAGAGAAGUGAAUCCGUUUCCGUUCGAAGACACCCGAUGUAUGCACGUGCACACGCUCGCAUAGGCGAAAAGAAUACGUGGCUGGGCAAGGUGAGGAACCGAGAGGGCACGACGAGGGCCCUGAGAAAGAGCGGUGCGAGCGACAAGGAUGGGAUGACGCCUAUGAAAAAGGACAAGGGGCGCGGUGGGAGGAUCGGGGGGACUAGCGGGAGGGAAACGAACGGGAGACCUUGCACAGCGUGGCUCGGAGCCGCGUAGAAAACGCCGCUUUGUGUUGGGGUAGCCUGUGCAUAAGAGAGGAAGUACAGGUUUAAAGGAAAAGAAGGCCCUCGUGCGUCUCCGCUGGCGGCGAUUCGCGUGCGUAAAGGCCUGUUCACACGGCAAUUCUCCGUUCUUGCUCUUUGAAAUAUCCACUCCAAUUGGGCUGAGCCGUGAUAUUCCACGCCCGUUCUUUUCUCAUCGUGUCGGAACUGUUUCUCACGGAAUUGUGGAGGUUACUGACUAACGACGAACAAAUUGGCGCGGGAAAAAAAUAUUUUCGAAAGGAAUUCAUGUUCAAAGUUUCAAAUUUUCUUUUCGUUUCUUAAUUUUAUAUAUUUGGAAAUUGAUGAAAAUUAUAUUGAGAAUUAUAUUAUAUUAUGUAUGAUGAAAA